GCUGAGAAGAAGAAGAAGAAGAUCGAUCAAUCUCGGAGACAAUGGCGAGGAUUGAGCUCAUCGACGACGAGGAAGAGGAUAAGAUGAAGAUGAAAAAGCGAAGCCAUGGAUCGACGAAGCUAUUCGUGUUCGUUGACUAUCUUUUCAUCUUUAUAUUUUUCUGCUUCCUUUGUUUCACCAUCUUCAAGUUAUGUCUUUUUAUGACAGCACAUAAGCAAAAGCUCGUGAUAUAUCCAAUACAUUGUAUCUUUUUCUUGUGUAUUGAAAGAGAGGGGAUAACAAAGAUAUGUUGACUCUUAUGAAAUGACUAGUAGACUUGUUACAGACU